rnacentral:rRNA from 1 species
UACCGAGUUAUACAACUCCCAAACCCACUGUGAACCUUACCUCAGUUGCCUCGGCGGGAACGCCCCGGCCGCCUGCCCCCGCGCCGGCGCCGGACCCAGGCGCCCGCCGCAGGGACCCCAAACUCUCUUGCAUUACGCCCAGCGGGCGGAAUUUCUUCUCUGAGUUGCACAAGCAAAAACAAAUGAAUCAAAACUUUCAACAACGGAUCUCUUGGUUCUGGCAUCGAUGAAGAACGCAGCGAAAUGCGAUAAGUAAUGUGAAUUGCAGAAUUCAGUGAAUCAUCGAAUCUUUGAACGCACAUUGCGCCCGCCAGCAUUCUGGCGGGCAUGCCUGUUCGAGCGUCAUUUCAACCCUCGAGCCCCCCCCGGGGGCCUCGGUGUUGGGGGACGGCACACCAGCCGCCCCCGAAAUGCAGUGGCGACCCCGCCGCAGCCUCCCCUGCGUAGUAGCACACACCUCGCACCGGAGCGCGGAGGCGGUCACGCCGUAAAACGCCCAACUUUCUUAGAGUUGACCUCGGAUCAGGUAGGAAUACCCGCUGAACUUAAGCAU